AUCCUUGGUUUCUCUUAAGUCGUGCAUAAAUCUUUCACCUUUUAUUAAAGAUUUCUGUGGAGAGGAGCAUUGAUGAGUUUGAUGCGUUUUUGUGAGCUUUGUUCUGGCAAAGCU